rnacentral:rRNA from 1 species
UACGAAGGGGGCUAGCGUUGUUCGGAAUUACUGGGCGUAAAGGGCUCGUAGGCGCCCUCUCAGUCGGAUGUGAAAUCCCCAGGCUUAACCUGGGAAUGGCAUCCGAUACUGGAGGGCUUGAAUUCGGGAGAGGGAUGCAGAAUUCCAGGUGUAGCGGUGAAAUGCGUAGAUAUCAGGAGGAACACCUGUGGCGAAAGCGGCUCACUGGACCACAACUGACGCUGAUGCACGAAAGCUAGGGGAGCAAACAGG